ACACGACUACAUUAGAUACCCGCGUAGUCCUAGCCGUAAACGAUACUCGCUAGGUGUCGGCCACGGUGCGACCGUUGUCGGUGCCGUAGGGAAGCCGUGAAGCGAGCCACCUGGGAAGUACGGCCGCAAGGCUGAAACUUAAAGGAAUUGGCGGGGGAGCACCGCAACGGGAGGAGCGUGCGGUUCAAUUGGAUUCAACGCCGAAAAACUCACCAGGAGCGACGGAUAUAUGAAGGUCAAGCUGAUGACUUUACCUGAUUUUCCG
rnacentral:rRNA from 1 species